AGUCGGACGGGAUUGAGGAGCUUGCUUCUCAUGAGAGUGGCGCACGGGUGCGUAACACGUAUGUAACCUACCUUGUUCAGGGGGAUAGCCUCUCGAAAGAGAGAUUAACACCGCAUAAAAUCAAUUUAUGGCAUCAUAGAAUGAUCAAAUAUUUAUAGGAACAAGAUGGGCAUGCGGAACAUUAGCUAGUUGGUAAGGUAACGGCUUACCAAGGCUACGAUGUUUAGGGGAUCUGAGAGGAUGACCCCCCACACUGGUACUGAGACACGGACCAGACUCCUACGGGAGGCAGCAGUAAGGAAUAUUGGUCAAUGGACGCAAGUCUGAACCAGCCAUGCCGCGUGCAGGAAGACGGCCCUACGGGUUGUAAACUGCUUUUGUACCGGAAUAAACCUUUUCACGUGUGAGAAGCUGAAUGUACGGUAAGAAUAAGGAUCGGCUAACUCCGUGCCAGCAGCCGCGGUAAUACGGAGGAUCCAAGCGUUAUCCGGAUUUAUUGGGUUUAAAGGGUGCGUAGGUGGCCUAUUAAGUCAGGGGUGAAAGACGGUAGCUUAACUAUCGCAGUGCCUUUGAUACUGAUGGGCUUGAAUACACUUGAGGUAGGCGGAAUGUGACAAGUAGCGGUGAAAUGCAUAGAUAUGUCACAGAACACCAAUUGCGAAGGCAGCUUACUAAAGUGUUAUUGACACUGAGGCACGAAAGCGUGGGGAUCAAACAGGAUUAGAUACCCUGGUAGUCCACGCCCUAAACGAUGAAUACUCGAUGUUGGCGAUAUACGGUCAGCGUCUAAGCGAAAGCGUUAAGUAUUCCACCUGGGGAGUACGCCCGCAAGGGUGAAACUCAAAGGAAUUGACGGGGGCCCGCACAAGCG
rnacentral:rRNA from 1 species